UGGCGGCGAUUGCGGAAACGGUCGCGGGCACGCGCGGCGGUCUUACGACUGGCACGCGGCGAAAUUUGCGGGGAACGGAAAAUGAGGGUUGAUGACGUCGGGUGCUGGGAUGGUGGGUCCAACGGGAAGGAAAGGAUUUUUCGGGAGCUCAACGGUCGGAAAAUUUUGGAAUGCAUUUUUAAUGAGUGAUUUAAAUUGGUAAUUUUUACGGGCGUUACAAACCUACCCCACUUAAAUUUAAUCUCAUCCUCGAGAUUCGGCUGAAUUCUGAAAAGAUGGGGAAACUCCUUCUUUAACGCAUCCUCGCGUUCCCAAGUAGCUUCUUC
rnacentral:lncRNA from 1 species